rnacentral:lncRNA from 1 species
AGUGACUUGCCCAAGGUCACACAGCUAGAAAAUGUCUAAGGCCACAUUCAAACCCAGGUCCUCUAGUCUCCAAUCCUGAUGGUCUAUCUACUGAGCAACCUAGCUGCCUCAACUAUAUUUCAUACUUUGGCUGCCUGCCUGAAAAGAAUCUUUUUUUUUCUAGUUCCAUACAAGUUAUCAGACCAAUGGGUUUUGAGGAAAUUUAAAGAAAUUUUUAUGUAUCAUUGCUGCCCAAAUAUCUCCUAACCUACAAGACUGAGAACAGACCAGGGUUGAGUCUCUGCUUGCUCUACGUCUGCUUUGCAGUUAAUUAAAGGUAGACCUUUUUUUUUUUACUGCAAGUACAUUAAACUUUUGUUAUUGUUCCCUCGUGUGUGAUUCUUCUUGAAACCAUUUGGGAAUUUUCUUGGCAAAAACACUAGAGUGGUUUGCCAUUUCCUUCUCCAGCUCAUUUUACAGUUCAGGAAACUAAGCCAACAGAGUUAAGUGACUUGCACAGGGUCCCACAGCAAGUAAGUGUCUAAGGCCAGAUUUGAAAGCAAGAAAACUCAUCUUUCCUAACUGACUCCAGAACUGGUGCUUUUUACUGCACCACCUCACUGCCCCUCUUUAAACUUAACUCAUGAUCUAUCAGUUAUCCUACCUGGAGGUAGGGGAACAGAACAGAUGAGAACACAGAUUUUGAACUAGAAGAGACUUCAGAGACCCUCUAAUUUUUUCAGAUGAGAAAACUGAGGCAGAGAGGUUAAAAAAUAACUGUUGAAAGGACAGCUAAGUACCUCAGUGGACAGAGUCCCAAGCCUGGAGUCUGGGUUCAAAUCUGAUCUUAGACACUUCCUAGCAGAGUGACCCUGGAAAAGUCACUUAACCCCAAUUGUCUAGUCCUUACUACUCUUCAGGAAAAGAUAUUAAAGUCUGUCAGUUAAACAUUCUGUAGGAAUUGCACUCUUGCUCUCAAACAAAUCUGCACUGAUAACAAUGAACAUAAGGCAAAUAACCCCCAAAGGGAAGGAAGGAAGGAAGGAAGGAAGGAAGGAGAGAGGGAGGGAGAGAGAAGGGGAGAGAAAGAGAGAGAGAGAGAGAGAGAGAGAAGGAAGGAAAGAAAAAAGGAAAGAAGGAAGAAAAGAAAGAAAGAAAGAAAGAAAGAAAGAAAGAGAGAGAAAGAAAGAAAGAAAGAAAGAAAGAAAGAAAGAAAGAAAGAAAGAAAGAAAGAAAGAAAG